rnacentral:rRNA from 1 species
AGAGUUUGAUUCUGGCUCAGAUUGAACGCUGGCGGCAGGCCUAACACAUGCAAGUCGAACGGUAACAGGAAGAAGCUUGCUUCUUUGCUGACGAGUGGCGGACGGGUGAGUAAUGUCUGGGAAACUGCCUGAUGGAGGGGGAUAACUACUGGAAACGGUAGCUAAUACCGCAUAACGUCGCAAGACCAAAGAGGGGGACCUUCGGGCCUCUUGCCAUCGGAUGUGCCCAGAUGGGAUUAGCUUGUUGGUGGGGUAACGGCUCACCAAGGCGACGAUCCCUAGCUGGUCUGAGAGGAUGACCAGCCACACUGGAACUGAGACACGGUCCAGACUCCUACGGGAGGCAGCAGUGGGGAAUAUUGCACAAUGGGCGCAAGCCUGAUGCAGCUAUGCCGCGUGUAUGAAGAAGGCCUUCGGGUUGUAAAGUACUUUCAGCGGGGAGGAAGGGAGUAAAGUUAAUACCUUUGCUCAUUGACGUUACCCGCAGAAGAAGCACCGGCUAACUCCGUGCCAGCAGCCGCGGUAAUACGGAGGGUGCAAGCGUUAAUCGGAAUUACUGGGCGUAAAGCGCACGCAGGCGGUUUGUUAAGUCAGAUGUGAAAUCCCCGGGCUCAACCUGGGAACUGCAUCUGAUACUGGCAAGCUUGAGUCUCGUAGAGGGGGGUAGAAUUCCAGGUGUAGCGGUGAAAUGCGUAGAGAUCUGGAGGAAUACCGGUGGCGAAGGCGGCCCCCUGGACGAAGACUGACGCUCAGGUGCGAAAGCGUGGGGAGCAAACAGGAUUAGAUACCCUGGUAGUCCACGCCGUAAACGAUGUCGACUUGGAGGUUGUGCCCUUGAGGCGUGGCUUCCGGAGCUAACGCGUUAAGUCGACCGCCUGGGGAGUACGGCCGCAAGGUUAAAACUCAAAUGAAUUGACGGGGGCCCGCACAAGCGGUGGAGCAUGUGGUUUAAUUCGAUGCAACGCGAAGAACCUUACCUGGUCUUGACAUCCACGGAAGUUUUCAGAGAUGAGAAUGUGCCUUCGGGAACCGUGAGACAGGUGCUGCAUGGCUGUCGUCAGCUCGUGUUGUGAAAUGUUGGGUUAAGUCCCGCAACGAGCGCAACCCUUAUCCUUUGUUGCCAGCGGUCCGGCCGGGAACUCAAAGGAGACUGCCAGUGAUAAACUGGAGGAAGGUGGGGAUGACGUCAAGUCAUCAUGGCCCUUACGACCAGGGCUACACACGUGCUACAAUGGCGCAUACAAAGAGAAGCGACCUCGCGAGAGCAAGCGGACCUCAUAAAGUGCGUCGUAGUCCGGAUUGGAGUCUGCAACUCGACUCCAUGAAGUCGGAAUCGCUAGUAAUCGUGGAUCAGAAUGCCACGGUGAAUACGUUCCCGGGCCUUGUACACACCGCCCGUCA